UUCGCGCGCCUUUUUUUUUUUUCUCACCAGACAGAGCUGAUAUUAGCAACACGUGCGUUCCCCCGAAAAAAAAAAAAGUGGUGAGAUGGGAUCUUGCGGUUUUUGCUUUGGCGAGAGAGCACGCGCGAAAGCACACACAACAUGCAUCACAUCCCUCUCCCAGAAAGAAUGACAAGUCCUGAAAGGAGGAACGGAAUGUGCGAGGGAGGCGGGGCGUGCAAGCGGAGCGCCGGAACCCGGACCUCUCGCGGUUUUUUUUUUUCUUUGUCACAGCGCUGGGGAGGGAAGCAAGCUCCGUGGCGUGCGUGAGUUCCCUUCCCACCAAAAUCGUAGCUCUUUAGAGCGAGGACGUGCUGAACACUGCACAGAGACGGGCAAGCACUCAGAAGCAUUUCGUUUGCCUUGAUCCUGGAGGCGCGCGGCCAUCUCCCGCUGCCGAGGAUUCGACGCGAACUCCUGGCAGAUCAGAAAUGUUCAGGCGAACGGCGGUUAUAUUUGUCCGUGGACCCAAUUAAGACUUCGUUGACGGGCAAAUAUGGAAUGCUGCAACAAGGACUGGUGUGGAUGGCGUGCUGCGCUGGUCUCGCCAAAUGAAAAGAAUUCUGGUAAGACGCAUGCUUGGUUACAAAAGUCUCACGCAAUCGCUUUUCACAUUGAAUUUGGUCGCAGGUGUGCUGUAAAUGCUGACUGCACAAUAUGUGACUGGCCCGCGGCCGCUUUGAAGGUAAGAUUGUGUUCUCAUUAUUCUAUUUAUUGUACCAUUUGUUUUCCAGUGACAUUACGAGCCAACAAUGAAAACCUCGAUCCACCCUGUCUGCACAUAUUAUCUAGUUUGUGCGCUGUGGAGCUUGAAGCACUUCUCAGAAUUUCAGCACACUC